UGUGGCACUCCUGUGACUCCAUACAGGUGUGUGUAGAGGAGGAACUUUCUCUCCCUUGUCUUUGUCACUGUUCUCCCGUCAUCUCUUUGACAAACACACAAAGAUGAAAACCCAGGAAUGCGGCAACCAUCAUCCACAGAGGGAACAUGGACAUCUAAAGAUGGUAAAUUAAAAUGGUAAACAACACUGUGGAUGUGUUUGCUUACAGUGACUAUGUCCUGUGGACUGAAAUCAACCAGCAAUAGAAUGCCAACAAAUUGUACCAAAGUCGGCGUUUCCUGGAAGAACUGGGUAAACCAUUUGUCAUUCCCAAGGUCCAGAGGCGAGCCAGGCCAGCUCGAUCCCCAGCAACUGCAGCCGGCAUUGAAAAGGUCAAGCUCACAUCAUCCAACCAAUCUGCAAUGGAUCCAGCGGACACGGGUGUAAAGAAAUGGAAAAGAUGCCAGGUCUGUCCCUCCAGAGAGGACUGUAAAAUAAGUACUGUACCUCUUGUGUGAAAUGCAAGAAUUACAUCAGCACAAAGCACACAGUUACAUUCUGUCCAUCGUGUGGAGAACACUGAAAAUUCUGAACACGGAAAAUCUGAGCAAAUACUACAAGUUAAAUGAAAAAAAACAAACGUGAAGUGGGAAAAACUUUAAAUAGAUCUUAAAUAUGGUGUUGGAAUUAAAAAUGGAUUGUAUGCUUCUUUUCUAAAUGUUUAUAUCAUCUAAAACAAAGUUCUUAUUGGUUUAA